rnacentral:rRNA from 1 species
UACGGGGGGGGGCAAGCGUUGUUCGGAAUUACUGGGCGUAAAGGGGUGCGUAGGCGGUCUGUUAAGUUAGAUGUGAAAACUCUGGGCUCAACCCAGAGCCUGCAUCUAAAACUGGCAGGCUAGAGUUCUGGAGGGGGUAGCGGAAUUCCUGGUGUAGCGGUGAAAUGCGUAGAUAUCAGGAGGAACACCGGUGGCGAAGGCGGCUACCUGGACAGAAACUGACGCUGAGGCACGAAAGCUAGGGGAGCAAACAGG